GUAUAUAUAUAUAUAUAUAUAUAUAGACUGGCAAGAAAGGCUUCUUGUCUGUGAGGUAUAAACUCUGGAAAGUCUUCAUUGUGUUUCAUGAGGUUGAAGUUUACCUGCUAUCAUCCACUGCCAUUCUACAGGGCUUUUUUUUUUUUCUGUAACCAUCAUCUUAGAAUGUUUACUAAGAAUUGGUCAGUUUGAAAAUUGUCCUUCUUUAGCCAUAAUGAAAUUAUUGAGACUAAUGUGUUCUUUUAUAAAUGAUUAAAGAAAAAACGUGAAGAUUGUAUGUACCUGUAUCAGUGUGUACAGUAGAGUGAAACUAUGUUAUAUAUUGUCAAUUGUUCUUACUUUUAGACACCUAAAGCUAGACUGAUUGGUCCUCAACAAGCUAUAUUAUUAGCAUUAAUAUAAGGAAAGGUUAACAAUUUUAAGCUAUGCAUGCUCUAAUCUCAAUCUUAUGAAAGACAUAGAACAAAUAAUUCUCACUUCGUUUUC